rnacentral:rRNA from 1 species
UUGACGGGGGCCCGCACAAGCAGCGGAGCAUGUGGUUUAAUUCGAAGCAACGCGAAGAACCUUACCUAGACUUGACAUCUCCUGAAUUACCCGUAACUGGGGAAGCUCUUCGGAGCAGGAAGACAGGUGGUGCAUGGUUGUCGUCAGCUCGUGUCGUGAGAUGUUGGGUUAAGUCCCGCAACGAGCGCAACCCUUAUCGUUAGUUGCUACCAUUAAGUUGAGCACUCUAGCGAGACUGCCCGGGUUAACCGGGAGGAAGGUGGGGAUGACGUCAAAUCAUCAUGCCCCUUAUGUCUAGGGCUACACACGUGCUACAAUGGUGAGGACAAAGAGACGCAAGACCGCGAGGUGGAGCAAAUCUCACAAACCUCAUCCCAGUUCGGAUUGCAGGCUGAAACUCGCCUGCAUGAAGCCGGAGUUGCUAGUAAUCGCGAAUCAGCAUGUCCGCGGUCGAAUACGUUCCCGGGCCUU